CUUCCGGGAACGCCGAAUCCUGCCGCCCGGACCGCGGAAAACACGCAAUCCCAGCCCGGCAGGAGCGGGGGACCCAGGUAAGCGCCGCGCGUUUCGCACCCGAGGAACGCACGGCUAGGGGUGAAGCCGCACCCGAAUGCCCCCUCGCAUUCGGUGCGGCCGGGCCACUCCAGCCCGAAUCCGACAGCUCACCUCGCAGGCGCAGGAGAGGAACU
rnacentral:sRNA from 1 species